rnacentral:rRNA from 1 species
UACGUAGGGGGCAAGCGUUGUCCGGAAUCAUUGGGCGUAAAGCGCGUGUAGGCGGUUCAGUAAGUCUGCUGUGAAAGUCCAGGGCUCAACCCUGGGAUGCCGGUGGAUACUGUCGGGCUUGAGUACGGAAGAGGCGAGUGGAAUUCCUGGUGUAGCGGUGAAAUGCGCAGAUAUCAGGAGGAACACCGAUGGCGAAGGCAGGUCUCUGGGCCACUACUGACGCUGAGAAGCGAAAGCAUGGGGAGCGAACAGG